GAUGAACGCUGGCGGCGUGCCUAAUACAUGCAAGUCGAGCGAAUGGAUUAAGAGCUUGCUCUUAUGAAGUUAGCGGCGGACGGGUGAGUAACACGUGGGUAACCUGCCCAUAAGACUGGGAUAACUCCGGGAAACCGGGGCUAAUACCGGAUAACAUUUUGAACCGCAUGGCUCGAAAUUGAAAGGCGGCUUCGGCUGCCACUUAUGGAUGGACCCGCUUCGAAGUAGCUAGUUGGUGAGGUAACAGCUCACCAAGGCAACGAUGCGUAGCCGAGCUGAGAGGGUGAGCGGCCACGCUGGAGCUGAGACACGGCCCAGACUCCUACGGGAGGCAGCAGUAGGGAAUCUUCCGCAAUGGACGAAAGUCUGACGGAGCAACGCCGCGUGAGUGAUGAAGGCUUUCGGGUCGUAAAACUCUGUUGUUAGGGAAGAACAAGUGCUAGUUGAAUAAGCUGGCACCUUGACGGUACCUAACCAGAAAGCCACGGCUAACUACGUGCCAGCCGCCGCAGUAA
rnacentral:rRNA from 1 species